rnacentral:rRNA from 1 species
AAGUCGGAAUUGCUAGUAAUCGCGGAUCAGCAUGCCGCGGUGAAUACGUUCUCGGGCCUUGUACACACCGCCCGUCACACCAUGGGAGUCGGUAACACCCGAAGUCUGCAGCCUGACGCAAGAGGGCGCAGCCGAAGGUGGGAUUGAUGACUGGGGUGAAGUCGUAACAAGGUAUC